GCAGUGGCAGGAAGAAGGCUGGAGAUGGUCACGACAUGGGAAGAAACAGCAACUGGUUCCUGGGGUUUCAGAAAAUAAGGUAAAAUUAUCCAAUUUCAGGGGCAAAGUCAAGAACUAUCAUGAAUUACUGCAAGAGCUCCCAGUGGUCCAAGGAAUACGACAUGAAUACUGCAGUGAGGGUUUCCUUUGUUCUGGCUGAGAAUGUGGCUCUAGGUGAUAAGAUCCUCAGGAAAAUCUCCUAAAGGAAGAGGAAAUAUAAACAGUAAAGAGAUGUACAAGCACAAAGAAAAGACCGUGUGAGGACACAGUUACAAAGUGAUCAUCUGCAAGCCUCAGGAGAAGCCUACUCUGCUCACACUUGGACCUUGAACUUCCAGACUCCAGAUCUGCUGGAACAUGCAUGUAAUGGUGAUAAAGCUUCCUCUCUAGAGACAAGGACUAUGCAUAGUGGCAGAUGGAACAACAAAACAGAAUUUGCCUCCCUGGGUGACCCCUUAAAGCAGAAGUGCCUGGUUAGUCCUGUGCUAUCAUGGGAGAGAUGUGAAAAUUGAGACCAUCUCUGUCAAUAUGCUGAGACAAUACCUGUAGACUGCUGGUUCAGCAUCACUUAUUUAUUUGACCCAGGAAAAGAUAGAAAAUCAUCAACAUCAAUACAUUGGUGACAACAGACUGCUUACCA
rnacentral:lncRNA from 1 species